rnacentral:rRNA from 1 species
AACGAACGCUGGCGGCAUGCCUAACACAUGCAAGUCGAACGAGACCUUCGGGUCUAGUGGCGCACGGGUGCGUAACGCGUGGGAACCUGCCCUUAGGUUCGGAAUAACUCCCCGAAAGGGGUGCUAAUACCGGAUAAUGUCUUCGGACCAAAGAUUUAUCGCCUUUGGAUGGGCCCGCGUUGGAUUAGCUAGUUGGUAGGGUAAAAGCCUACCAAGGCGACGAUCCAUAGCUGGUCUGAGAGGAUGAUCAGCCACACUGGGACUGAGACACGGCCCAGACUCCCACGGGAAGCAGCAGUGGGGAAUAUUGGACAAUGGGCGAAAGCCUGAUCCAGCAAUGCCGCGUGAGUGAUGAAGGCCUUAGGGUUGUAAAGCUCUUUUACCCGGGAUGAUAAUGACAGUACCGGGAGAAUAAGCUCCGGCUAACUCCGUG